GAUUCUGCCAGUAAUUACCAGGGAAGAAGAAAGGGAAUUUGUUGUGAGAUCCCAGGUAAAAUGAAGCAGGAUUUAAUUGGUCCUCGUUAAACAGAGCUGGGUUUCCAAUAUGGAGAAGGGCCUCGUCCGGGCAGUGUUUAAUUGGGGCUGUGUGUGCGCUGCGCAGCCGGGGCUGAAAGGCAGACGCGGGGCCCUGUUCUUUCAUCCCAUUUUCUAAUAAGGAUAAAUAAACAGGAUGAAUAAUGCCAUCAGUCUCUCCCUCGACCCCUGUGAGACCCCAGCAAUGCAGUGCUGCUCACCCCAGAGCUGCUCCCUGGGAUCCAUGAAUCCAAUGCAAGCAGGAUCCCUCGGCACAGAGCUCUGUUAGCAGAACCCCCAGAUCCAGCUACGGAGCACUUUGGGGAAUUCUUUGGUUAGUGGCUGUCAGAGGGGAGCCUGAGGAGGGGAUGGGGCUCAGGGGGCAGGAGGAAAAAGGAGGGAGAAAAGAAUGGAAAAUAAAAUUAUGUCUUUCCCUUCUAUUUUUCCUUUUUUAUUUUUUUUCCCCCCGUAAAUCCUGGGAAGCGCUGGGAGACUGCACUCCCCCUCCCACGCCGCCCACUCGGGUAAUUUCAUUUAUCCCGCAAAUCUAAUUAGCAAUCCGUGGCUGACAUUAAUACAGAUCUAAUGAGGCCGGCGAUGACCAGAUUAUCAGGCGAGCGCUGACAGCCUUAAAGGCACAUCGAGCCCUGCAGUCAGUGGGACCCGGCAGGGGAAAAACUGCUUUAAACGGGGAGAAGAAAAAGAAGAAAAAAAAAAAAAAGGAAAGGAGGAAAGAAAGAAAAAAAAUAGACGAGGGAGGGGGAGAAAAACAUGAGGAAAAGCGGUGCGGGUAGGGCUUGGCUGCUUAGCUUAUUAAGGGAGCUGGAGCUUUGCUUUUGGACGCAGUUUAUCCACCAGCAUCGGGCCUCUGUCCCUGCUUCUCCCGAAAUACUGUUCUGCAGAGGAGAAAAAGGAGGGGGGGAAAUAAGGGGAAAAAAAAAUAAGAAGAAGCUGGAGCCCAAGGAGUCGCUGUGCAAUUUAUUCCAAGGGGUGGCUGUUGAGAAGGCGGCAAUUUGCGGCGGCCGGGGGUUAUUUAGUGCGAUAUGAAAUCAAAUGAUCCUAUUGCUCAAAUAACAGUGUCUGGGAGGAGAAGCGAGCGCGCUCCAAAGAUCUGUGUCCUUUAAAGCGGCAGCAGCAGUGGCAAGCACUGAGAUGGAGCAGGAUGGAGUGGCCUGGCCAAGCCGUGGCCCCGCUGGCAGGAGCUGCAGAGUGGACAGCAGAGGGAACAACUUGGUCUUGAAGGUUCUGUUCUGAAAGAGGAUCCUGGCAGAAACAUGGCUUGGUGCAGAGGACGGCGCGACGAAAGCGAGAGAGCAGCAGACACUUGAACGGAGACUCCUCGUGUUUACAGCCUGGUCACACGAGUGACUGAGACCCGAAAUCUCCCUGACAUCCUCUCUGGAUGCUUGGCCUUGGAACAGCCUCAUUUGUGCCACACAUGCUCCCUUCUGCUUGUGGAGCCUUCUAUACUGCACAGGACACUGGAAAAGCACUUGGAGAAGGAAGGGGGCUUCCUGGAAAACAAGUCUCUAAACCAGCCCUUCCCGCUGCCGUGGCUUUUUGGGGCUCAUUAAUAUCAGUGGUUCCUGCUGGAGGAACUCUGUCACCUUCCCCAAGGCAGCAGAUCUGAGGCCAGACGUGGUGUGCACUGCUUGAGCAUCAGACAUGAGUAAUAACAAGUUUCGAGGAACUGUACCACUUAAUAAAAGCAUUUUAUUACAUUUAAAUGUAUUAAAAUGUGAACAUUAAAUUCAACGCGCUAAUUACUGUUUCCAGGCACUGCCACUGACAGGAAAUGGAUCCUCACAAUUGCUCUGCUGAGAUCGCUCACUGCUGUUACUGCUCUUUGGUUCCUGGUGUGUUAUUAGUGCUCUGCAUUUGGGACUUGAGUCAUUAACAAAAAGGACUCGUAUUGGGCAUUAUGUAAAUUCUAUAUGUUUUCACACAGCUACCAGGGCCUGUGUUAUAUGUCUC